rnacentral:rRNA from 1 species
GGGUUGUGAGGUUAAGCGACUAAGCGUACACGGUGGAUGCCCUGGCAGUCAGAGGCGAUGAAGGGCGUGCUAAUCUGCGAUAAGCGCCGGUAAGGUGAUAUGAACCGUUAUAACCGGCGAUACCCGAAUGGGGAAACCCAGUGUGACUCGUCACACUAUCAUUAACUGAAUCCAUAGGUUAAUGAGGCGAACCGGGGGAACUGAAACAUCUAAGUACCCCGAGGAAAAGAAAUCAACCGAGAUUCCCCCAGUAGCGGCGAGCGAACGGGGAGGAGCCCAGAGCCUGAAUCAGCAUGUGUGUUAGUGGAAGCGUCUGGAAAGGCGCGCGAUACAGGGUGACAGCCCCGUACACAAAAGCGCAUGUGCUGUGAGCUCGAUGAGUAGGGCGGGACACGUGGUAUCCUGUCUGAAUAUGGGGGGACCAUCCUCCAAGGCUAAAUACUCCUGACUGACCGAUAGUGAACCAGUACCGUGAGGGAAAGGCGAAAAGAACCCCGGCGAGGGGAGUGAAAAAGAACCUGAAACCGUGUACGUACAAGCAGUGGGAGCCCCAC